rnacentral:rRNA from 1 species
CCUACGGGUGGCAGCAGUAGGGAAUAUUGCUCAAUGGGGGAAACCCUGAAGCAGCAACGCCGCGUGGAGGAUGAAGGUUUUCGGAUUGUAAACUCCUUUUGUUAGAGAAGAUAAUGACGGUAUCUAACGAAUAAGCACCGGCUAACUCCGUGCCAGCAGGCGCGGUAAUACGAAGGGUGCAAGCGUUACUCGGAAUAACUGGGCGUAAAGAGCGCGUAGGCGGGUUAGCAAGUCAGAUGUGAAAGCCUAUGGCUUAACCCUAGAAUUGCAUUUGAAACUGGUAUUCUAGAGUAUGGGAGAGGUAGGUGGAAUUCUUGGUGUAGGGGUAAAAUGCGUAGAGAUCAAGAGGAAUACUCAUUGCGAAGGCGACCUGCUAGAACAUAACUGACGCUGGUGCGCGAAAGCGUGGGGAGCAAACAGGAUUAGAUACCCUUGUAGUC